UCCUCCUGGCUGUUCACAGUCGUAGUUGUAAAAGUGGUGGUGGUGGUGGUGGUGGCAAUAAUAGUAGUAGUAGUCUUGGUAUAUAGUGGUUGUGGUGGUGGAGGUAGUAGCAGUUGUAAGUAGCAGCAACAAUAGUAGUAGUAGUAAUAACACUUAAUAGGAACAUUCUAAGGUUUUAUCCUUGCAAAACACACACACACACACACACACACACACACACACACACACACACACACACACACACACACACACACACACACACACACUUACUUUAAUAUACAACAAGGUAAGUCUUCCAGCACCUUCACAGCCUCUCCCUGACUUUCACAGGAUCUCUCUCUCACUCUUGCAUAGAAGAACCAAAAAAAGACCCACACCAAACAAACAACACAAUAGAUCACUCUUAAUCCUCUCAGAGUCCCUCCCUGACCCCCCCACUCCUACCCUCACACCAACACCUCACAAGACACCCUCACACCAGGCCGAGACCUUCACUCUGCUGUAUGUGGCCUUUAUAAGCUUGUAUUUUAACUUCCGCCUCCCGCGUGUUGUAUUUUGGCAGGUCAAGUUGGGCGAUGACCUGCAGGUGUGCGCGACUGAAAGGAAGCUGUCGUUUGAUGUGCUUCGGAUUAUCAACUUCAGAGCCUGGGAGUGUGUGGAAGUAAUGGAAGGAAGAAAGAGGAGAGAGAGAGAAGACAAAGAAGGAAGAGGACAUAAGAGAAGAACGAAGACAAUAGAAGAGGAAGGAAAAAAGAAGAAAUGAGAGAAAGAAGAUAGAGGAGAGAGAAAUAUAGAAAGAUAAAGAAGAAAUAAAGGGGAAAUAUAAAGAAGAAAUAAAGGAGAAAGAUAAGAAGAGGAAGGAAAAAAAGAUAUGAGAGAAAUCUCUCUCUCUCUCUCUCUCUCUCUCUCUCUCUCUCUCUCUCUCUCUCUCUCUCUCUCUCUCUCUAGACCCACAACCCACAGUAUGUCCCCCACAGUAUGUUGACGAACCCACAGUCACUCCCUACAGCCUAUCACAAAUUCUCUCUCUCUCUCUCUCUCUCUCUCUCUCUCUCUCUCUCUCUCUCUCUCUCUCUCUCUCUCUCUCUCUCUCUCUC